rnacentral:rRNA from 1 species
CAAGUCGAACGGAGUACCCUCGAAAGAGAUUUCGGUCAAUGGAGAGGACUACUUAGUGGCGGACGGGUGAGUAACGCGUGAGGAACCUGCCUUUCAGAGGGGGACAACAGUUGGAAACGACUGCUAAUACCGCAUAACGUACGGGUAUCGCAUGGUACUGGUACCAAAGAUUUAUCGCUGAGAGAUGGCCUCGCGUCUGAUUAGCUAGUUGGUAGGGUAACGGCCUACCAAGGCGACGAUCAGUAGCCGGACUGAGAGGUUGGCCGGCCACAUUGGGACUGAGAUACGGCCCAGACUCCUACGGGAGGCAGCAGUGGGGAAUAUUGGGCAAUGGGCGCAAGCCUGACCCAGCAACGCCGCGUGAAGGAAGAAGGCUUUCGGGUUGUAAACUUCUUUUGACAGGGAAGAGCAGAAGACGGUACCUGUCGAAUAAGCCACGGCUAACUACGUGCCAGCAGCCGCGGUAAUACGUAGGUGGCAAGCGUUGUCCGGAUUUACUGGGUGUAAAGGGCGUGUAGCCGGGCUGACAAGUCAGAUGUGAAAUCCGGGGGCUCAACCCCCGAACUGCAUUUGAAACUGUUGGUCUUGAGUAUCGGAGAGGCAGGCGGAAUUCCUAGUGUAGCGGUGAAAUGCGUAGAUAUUAGGAGGAACACCAGUGGCGAAGGCGGCCUGCUGGACGACAACUGACGGUGAGGCGCGAAAGCGUGGGGAGCAUACAGGAUUAGAUACCCUGGUAGUCCACGCUGUAAACGAUGGAUACUAGGUGUGCGGGGACUGACCCCCUGCGUGCCGCAGCUAACGCAAUAAGU